AUUGAACGCUCGCGGGAUGCUUUACACAUGCAAGUCGAACGGCAGCGCGGACUUCGGUCUGGCGGCGAGUGGCGAACGGGUGAGUAAUGUAUCGGAACGUGCCCAGUAGCGGGGGAUAACUACGCGAAAGCGUAGCUAAUACCGCAUACGCCCUACGGGGGAAAGCAGGGGAUCGUAAGACCUUGCACUAUUGGAGCGGCCGAUAUCGGAUUAGCUAGUUGGUGAGGUAACGGCUCACCAAGGCGACGAUCCGUAUCUGGUUUGAGAGGACGACCAGCCACACUGUGACUGAGACAAGGACCAGACUCCUACGGGCGGCAGCAGUGGGGAAUUUUGGACAAUGGGGGCAACGCUGAUCCAGCCAACCCGCGUGUGCGAUGAAGGCCUUCGGGUUGUAAAGCACUUUUGGCAGGAAAGAAACGUCGCGGGCUAAUACCCCGUGGAACUGACGGUACCUGCAGAAUAAGCACCGGCUAACUACGUG
rnacentral:rRNA from 1 species